AGAGACGCAUUUAUUAGAUAAAAAGCCAGUUCAUGCUUUUACAGUAUGAAAAUUGGUGAUUUAUAAUAACUUAGCAAAUCGCAAAGUGAAAACAGGCGAUAAAUCAUUCAAGUUUCUGACCUAUCAGCUUUCGACGGUAUGGUAUUGGCUUACCGUGGCAGUGACGGUUAACGGGGGAUUAGGGUUCGAUUCCGGAGAGGGAGCCUGAGAAACGGCUACCACAUCUAAGGAAGGCAGCAGGCGCGCAAAUUACCCAAUUCUAACAGUUUGAGAGAGGUAGUAACAAGAAAUAACAAUACAAGGCAGUUAAAAUGCUUUGUAAUUGGAAUGAUAGAAAUUUAAACCCUUUUUAAAGUAUCAAUUGGAGGGCAAGUCUGGUGCCAGCAGCCGCGGUAAUUCCAGCUCCAAUAGCGUAUAUUAAAAUUGUUGCAGUUAAAAAGCUCGUAGUUGAAGUUCUGCUGAAAGUAACCGGUCUGCUUUUAAUAAAAGUGGUAUCUUGGUAUGUAUUUAGCAAUGAUGUCCUUUGAAGUGUUUUUUACUUUAUUGUAAUAAAGCAUAUUCAGGACUUUUACUUUGAGAAAAUUAGAGUGUUUCUAGCAAGCUGACGCUUUGAAUACUGCAGCAUGG
rnacentral:rRNA from 1 species